ACUGCUUUCUUUCGGGAUGAUUAGAUAUGGCAUUUGUAACAUAAUUCAUUGCCUGUGCAGGUCACUGGCAAUUGCAGAAGUCAAGGCUACAGCAUGGGCAAGACAGUAACAACUAUACCAUAGAUUGGAGGAUAUACUGGUGAAAAUUACAAAAGUCUUUGCACCUGACCACCCUGGCUGGCAUCUGUGGCAGUCUGAAGUUUUGUGUUGUAGAAAAGGCCCCACAUGCUGCAGUAGAGACGGGGGUUUUUUUGGACCUAAACAUUCUUUAAGAAGCAUUUGGAACCUUUGGCCAUUUGGAAUUUCAGCUGGAUGAAGAAACGAAAUGGGAUGACUCACUCAACAGAAAGCUGAAGCUGAGUGUGGCGUUAUCUAUGACUGUGCAACUGUGAAUCUCAAAAGGUUGCACAGUCUGGUACCUUGCUGUAAAGGUAGGAAGGUCUAAAUAGUUCUUAUAACGUCAAAGCACUCAGGUAAGUGAGUGAGACAUUGUUUUCUACACUUCCACAAUAUAUGAAUCACAAAAGAUGUGUGUUAGCUGAUAGAGAAUAUGAAAACUGAUUUAUUAUAUAUCAUAAAUACUUCCUUGUUUCUCACAGCAGAGGGUCAUUUUUUCAGAACUGCAAGAUGUUAAACUCUUGUUAAAUAGGAAAUACUGUAUUAUUGGUGUUUCUCAUCACUCUGCUAGGAAAGCAGGUGAGCCAGUGACAAGGCCCUGAUAGGGUACACAGGAUGCAGACGUUCGACAGUAUGUCCCUCAACAUCUUAAGUUACAAACUCCAGAAGAAGUGGCGGGUUGCCGUUCAUUUUGGAUUGUCUGUAUGGCAAAGGAAAAGAUGGGAGGUGGAGCUGCCUCAACUGCUGUUGGGUCUGAGCACCCUAAAAAAUAGCCCAUUCAUUCCAUCUGCCCUUCCAAAACCCUCCGCGUAAGCUGUACCGUUUUGCUCUUCCAGGCAAUGGGAUCUGCUGCAUGAGGCUGUGACCUUGCAGAGAGAGGCUGCGUGAAAUAACACUGAAGGGAAUGUGACCUUGCACGUGAUGGAGAAGACAGGCCUUGGAGGCUGUAAUGGCUCGCCUUUCUGACUAAAGGGCAGACAACUGGUUGCAGGUUAAGUUCAACUAGUGAGGAGUACACCACUGCGCUUCUGCCUCCUUAUUGGCAUCAUCUGAACAGCACGGCCAGCUGUGUGUCUGCGCUACCCAUGCUCGAAGUGGUUACAUGGCUUCUAGCCCGGGGCUGCCUUGCAUCUGGCUGGCGGGGAGCAGGGGCGCAGCGCCCCGCUGAUGUGAGUACAUGGCUUCUGCAGAAGAGAUGGCUUGUGUCCAGCCGGCGUGGAGCACGGGCAGGGAGAACGUGCAAACUCUCUGCACCCGCCGAGGCAGGCAAGUCCUGAGAUGUCACGCUCUGGCAACUAGCAACGCACAGCAGGUCCACAAGAUGACUUGUCUGGACUACCGGGCUGUGAUCCAUAUAUCUUCUCUAUCUUACGGGUGCAAUACUUCACAUAACUUUGGUCUGGAAGUUUGGGGACUUAUCCUCCCCAUUCCCAAAGGAAAUGACUGAUAUCCCAAUAGUGAUAUCUCUGUAGCUCAUGGCAACAGAUCCAAGAAGGAUCGUCCAUGCAGAGGGCUGGAGCAGGACUCUCCCCACACUUUUCAGUGCAACCUAUCCCAUCUGCUAAUCUGAAAAUCAUCCUCCGCAGCCGUGCUCCCAGCUGCCUGUUCUUGCAACAACCUUUCCAGGAAGAGCAGGAAAACCAGAACCAACCCCUCAAAGGAACAAACCAUAGCUCUUUCUCAGUUAGCUGUGUCAUUGUUAUUUACAAGAGGUAAAACGGUUUCCAAGAAUACAAGUGCAUGCAAUUUCUCUCCUUGUACACAGCUCUCAGGACAAUUGUUUGUUACAUGAGUGCAUUUUUGAAAUACUGGAUGAUAGAAUAAAAAUCUGGAUCUUGUCAGAGUCAGUGGCAGAAAUCAUCCAGACUUCAGUGGGCCACUGGUUGGAAAAGGUAUUAUUUCUUUGUCAUAAACUAAAUAAAUCCAUUUGAUACAG